rnacentral:rRNA from 1 species
UUGCUCCUUUGACGUUAGCGGCGGACGGGUGAGUAACACGUGGGCAACCUACCCUAUAGUUUGGGAUAACUCCGGGAAACCGGGGCUAAUACCGAAUAAUCUCUUGUCCCUCAUGGGACAAUACUGAAAGACGGUCUUGGCUGUCGCUAUAGGAUGGGCCCGCGGCGCAUUAGCUAGUUGGUGAGGUAACGGCUCACCAAGGCAACGAUGCGUAGCCGACCUGAGAGGGUGAUCGGCCACACUGGGACUGAGACACGGCCCAGGCUCCUACGGGAGGCAGCAGUAGGGAAUCUUCCACAAUGGGCGAAAGCCUGAUGGAGCAACGCCGCGUGAGUGAAGAAGGAUUUCGGUUCGUAAAACUCUGUUGUAAGGGAAGAACAAGUACAGUAGUAACUGGCUGUACCUUGACGGUACCUUAUUAGAAAGCCACGGCUAACUACGUGCCAGCAGCCGCGGUAAUACGUAGGUGGCAAGCGUUGUCCGGAAUUAUUGGGCGUAAAGCGCGCGCAGGUGGUUUCUUAAGUCUGAUGUGAAAGCCCACGGCUCAACCGUGGAGGGUCAUUGGAAACUGGGAGACUUGAGUGCAGAAGAGGAUAGUGGAAUUCCAAGUGUAGCGGUGAAAUGCGUACAGAUUUGGAGGAACACCAGUGGCGAACGCGACUAUCUGGUCUGUAACUGACAC